GCCUCUAAAAUGAGUCUCUCUGGGGGACAUGACACCAAAGCUAAGAGCCCAAUCAAGCAGGAGAGACCAGCCUCCCCUGUACCCAGCUGUGUGUCCAUGAAGAGUGACCUGUCUAUGGAACUACCUAUACUGUUUAGAGAGGGAGACUUUUCUACUGAACAAAGAAACCAACAGGAGAGAUCAGAGUCAGAGAUUCUCAGUGGUCAGUCUUCC